rnacentral:rRNA from 1 species
UACGUAGGUGGCAAGCGUUUGUCCGGAAUUAUUGGGCGUAAAGCGCGCGCAGGCGGUCCUUUAAGUCUGAUGUGAAAGCCCCCGGCUCAACCGGGGAGGGUCAUUGGAAACUGGGAAACUUGAGUGCAGAAGAGGAAAGUGGAAUUCCAAGUGUAGCGGUGAAAUGCGUAGAGAUUUGGAGGAACACCAGUGGCGAAGGCGACUUUCGGGUCUGUAACUGACGCUGAGGCGCGAAAGCGUGGGGAGCAAACAGG